AACGAACGCUGGCGGCAUGCCUAACACAUGCAAGUCGAACGAGACCUUCGGGUCUAGUGGCGCACGGGUGCGUAACGCGUGGGAACCUGCCCUUAGGUUCGGAAUAACUCCCCGAAAGGGGUGCUAAUACCGGAUAAUGUCUUCGGACCAAAGAUUUAUCGCAUUUGGAUGGGCCCGCGUUGGAUUAGCUAGUUGGUAGGGUAAAAGCCUACCAAGGCGACGAUCCAUAGCUGGUCUGAGAGGAUGAUCAGCCACACUGGGACUGAGACACGGCCCAGACUCCUACGGGAUGCAGCAGUGGUUAAUAUUGGACAAUGGGCGAAAGCCUGAUCCAGCAAUGCCGCGUGAGUGAUGAAGGCCUUAGGGUUGUAAAGCUCUUUUACCCGUGAUGAUAAUGACAGUACCGGGAGAAUAAGCUCCGGCUAACUCCGUG
rnacentral:rRNA from 1 species